CCGACCCUCCCCAGUAGAUGCCGGUGUCAACAUGAGGGAAUGUCAUCCUGAGCCUCACCACUGGAGGGCGAUGGACGAGGGAGUGUUGUUGUGAAACAGAAGGAAGACGCACACAGGAAGACACACACAUCACAGAGUAACACCGAGAAGACGGAAAGUUCUGAAUGUUCACUAGUUUAAGGACCCUUACCUUUACUCUUUUUAGUUUAAGACCCCUCACGUUAACCGUCAGUUCCUGAACAUUAAUGAUAGCACUCUCCUUGUAGACCUCCUGACCCAUGGACGCCUCGGAACGUCGGGAAAUCUACAUCCCCGAAGACGCUCAGGUGGGGUCCAUCCCCCUCUGGACCAUACCGGACCGGAUCCUGGACCGGAUGGGAGUCCCCCGACCCUCCAACAACCCCUCCUCCACCUCCAGCUCCCCCUCUCCGUCCCCGGAGGGGACUUGGAUCUCCCCGGUGCUGGUCCGGAAGAUGAGCCAUCCUGCGGUCUCCGGGGACAUCGAUCCAACGGGGGGGAGCCCCUUUUGGGCCAUGCGGAAAACACUCGCAGACACUCACGUCGGAAUCCCGUUCGAGACGUCGAACCGCCUGGCCCUCGAGGUGCUCCGGGAUUUCCUACCUGGCGCACGGUUCUCCAACCUCACAAGUGGCCCCCGAUCGUGCAUCAGGUUACCUCGGGUGGCCGCUCCUCUCCUCCACCAUGAAGCGGUGCUCGUAUACGAGGGCAACGUCUUCCUGUCCCCCAAGGGGCCCAAGCGGAGGAGAGGAGGCGAGCCCUCUUCGGCACCCCCCACGGCUCUGUCUCCGGUCUUCUCUGUCCCGGACAGCACAGCUGCGUCCAUCGGAGAACCUCACCAGACCGAACGCACGCUGAGAAACUCUGGAGGACUACAAGUCCCAGAAGACACUGCUACUUCUAAACCAGUCCCAGAAGACCCUGCUGCUUCUCACCCAGUCCCAGAAGACUCUGCUGCUUCUUACCCAGUCCCAGGAGACCCUCAUUCUCCUCAUCAAGACCCAGAAGGAGAGUCUGAGGACACCCCCUCUGAGACCGCCAGCGCUCCCAACACAGACCACCCAGAAGUAACCAGCAGCCCCCAGUUUGGGGACCAGGACCACCCUAGUGUCUUUGUCCCGCCACAUGAGGGCAGACUCGGAUCAGCUCAGAAGAAUUACAGAGACUGUGACUUCGGAGCGCUGGCACUGGACGAGAAGAUCGCCCAGAUGAAAGCGAAGCUCGUCGAGAGCGAAGCGGCUCUGAGGAGAGGCUGCAGCUGAAGGCCGCAACAGGACCUGUGCACAGGCCCGGCUCUGGGCAUAGGCAGUAUAGGCGAAUGCUACGGGCGCAUCCAGGGACAUCCUUAGGGGGUGGUUAAUUAGGAUGAUUCCAAGGGCGCAGCACUGACGGGGCGCCCAGAGAACGGAUUUCGGAUUAAAUCAUCAAAUUAAGUAGAUGCCGGUGUCAACAUGAGGGAAUGUCAUCCUGAGCCUCACCACUGGAGGGCGAUGGACGAGGGAGUGUUGUUGUGAAACAGAAGGAAGACGCACACAGGAAGACACUCACACAUCACAGAGUAACACCGAGAAGACGGAAAGUUCUGAAUGUUCACUAGUUUAAGGACCCUUACCUUUACUAUUUUUAGUUUAAGACCCCUCACGUUAACCGUCAUUUCCUGAACAUUAAUGAUAGCACUCUCCUUGUAGACCUCCUGACCCAUGGACACCUCGGAACGUCGGGAAAUCUACAUCCCCCAAGACGCUCAGGUGGGGUCCAUCCCCCUCUGGACCAUACCGGACCGGAUCCUGGACCGGAUGGGAGUCCCCCGACCCUCCAACAACCCCUCCUCAUCCAGCUCCCCCUCUCCGUCCCCGGAGGGGACUUGGAUCUCCCCGGUGCUGGUCCGGACGAUGAGCCAUCCUGCGGUCUCCGGGGACAUCGACCCAACGGGGGGGAGCCCCAUUUGGGCCAUGCGGAAAACACUCGCAGACACUCACGGUAGUCCGUUCGAAAUCCCGGUCGUGACGUCGAACCGCCUGGCCUUCGAGGUGCUCCGGGAUUUCCUACCUGGCGCACGGUUCUCCAACCUCACAAGUGGCCCCCGAUCGUGCAUCAGGUUACCUCGGGUGGCCGCUCCUCCCCUCCACCAUGAAGCGGUGCUCGUAUACGAGGGCAACGUCUUCCUGUCCACCAGGAGGCCCAAGCGGAGGAGAGGAGGCGAGCCCUCUUCGGCACCCCCCACGGCUCUGUCUCCGGUCUUCUCUGUCCCGGACAGCACAGCUGCGUCCAUCGGAGAACCUCACCAGACCGAACGCACGCUGAGAAACUCUGGAGGACUACAAGUCCCAGAAGACACUGCUACUUCUAAACCAGUCCCAGAAGACCCUGCUGCUUCUCACCCAGUCCCAGAAGACUCUGCUGCUUCUUACCCAGUCCCAGGAGACCCUCAUUCUCCUCAUCAAGACCCAGAAGAAGAGUCUGAGGACACCCCCUCUGAGACCGCCAGCGCUCCCAACACAGACCACCCAGAAGCAACCAGCAGCCCCCAGUUUGGGGACCAGGACCACCCUAGUGUCUUUGUCCCGCCACAUGAGGGCAGACUCGGAUCAGCUCAGAAGAAUUACAGAGACUGUGACUUCGAAGCGCUGGCACUGGACGAGAAGAUCGCCCAGAUGAAAGCGAAGCUCGUCGAGAGCGAAGCGGCUCUGAGGAGAGGCUGCAGCUGAAGGCCGCAACAGGACCUGUGCACAGGCCCGGCUCUGGGCAAAGGCAGUAUAGGCGAAUGCUACGGGCGCAUCCAGGGACGUCCUUAGGGGGGGUUAAUUAGGAUGAUUCCAAGGGCGCAGCACUGACGGGGCGCCCCAGAGAACGGAUUUCGGAUUAAAUCAUCAAAUUAAGGUGGUUUGUUUCGUUGUUUUGUUGUGGUUUGUUUCUCCAUUUUUACAAAAUCAUUAGAAAGUCUUCCUAUUAUCCCCCCUCUCGUUUGUCAUUAUUGGGUACAGCCCAAGUCUCACGCUUCUGCAGAGCAAAGUAGCAGCCAGGCAUAUCGUGGUGAAGCAAGUGCAGACUGCUAGUGUCUUAAACUAGCAGUCUAAAGUCAGUUUGUGUGUAUCCCGGUCGGUGAAAUCAAGAAGUCAGGUUGUCAGGGGAGGAAAGAGAGAAAGAGAUAGAGGAAAGAGCUCCAACCGGUCGACAGUUCGUCACCCAGUUUUUUACCAAGAAACUUUCCCAACAACCUGAUAACAAGCCUAGCCUAGCAGCUAGCGCUACUGUAGCUAAAAUAAUUACAGCCUGCACUGGGUGAUAAAACUGAAAAGAUCGUUUGCAUUACCAUUCACAUGAUAUCCAAUAGCCUACCUAUCUACAAAAAGCCUACAUUAUUUUUACAAGUCGAGCGGACUAUUUAAUAUCUCCCGUAUGCAGGCGUUGCCAAGCAACAUGGCCAUAGCGUCUCAUAGGGUCAACGUCUUUCCUAGGUGUAAAGUAACACUUUUUAACCUACACCCUCCAGCCAAUCAGAAUCGGGUAUUCAUCCAGACCAUGGUAAAAAUGGAGAUAAUGCAAUGAUUAAUCAGAAUCAGAAUCAGAAUCGGUUUAUUGCCAGAUACAUUUACACAUAUGAGGAAUUUGUCUUGGUAUUCGUAUCCGUUGCGCACGAUCUUAACAAACAAUAAACAGUAAACAAUAAACAAUAAGCAAGUAUUGAAUAAUAAGUACUGAAAAAGAUAAGAGUAAAUAAAAAAUAUAGUAAAUAAAAAAUAUGUCGCACCCCACAGUCCGCGACAGUCUUCCCAUAAUGACCAAUAUUAUACUAUAGGUGUCCGGGAAGCCUAACCCAGACAGAGCUCCAAGUGUCCACACAGAACGUCCCCAGAUGUGCCCCUUCGUGACGUCAGACUACUUCUGAAAAGACAGGCUGACGUCACGAACAGAACGCCACUUGCGUUCAGCAGAGGUGAACGUUCAGUGGUUUGGGGAGGAUGCCAAAAACAUCGGGUUCUACCAAUUCUUUCAUUCAAUUGGUGACUUGUUUCAGUAACGGUGAUAUAAGGCAUAUGUUUACGAAUCAUCAUAUAAGACAAAUGACCACGUUUAAAACAAAAGAAAAGUGGUUUGGAGUUCACUGGCUCUUAAACAUCCCAGUGUUCACAUCACGCCUCCCAGCUGGAGGCGACGAGAUAUCCAAGCCCCGUAGGAACCAUUGACCCCAAACCAUGAUCGUUUCAGCCUCUCGCUGCAGAUCAGCGGUGACUCGCUUCCGUUGAACAUAACUAUCAAACCCACAAAGUGUCCGGACCAAUCAGCGCAAUGGGAAGGUAUGUGUUGGUACUCUUCGGAUGUGCUGAGCUAAGCCGUUUCUCCAGAUCUCAGCAUCUGCCACCGAAAGUCUGCAAGACCUAAAGCGCACUCAGGGUUUUGAGGCGAUGCCGGGUGUCACCACUAGGGGGCAG
ensembl:lncRNA